AGAUAACUUGCUUUAUACAGGUUUCUUCGGGUUCAAAAGCUAAUGUACUUAAUCAACAUAAAAGCACUGAAGAACAACCAAUAGCAAGAAAGGUUGUCGCUUCUCGUGCUUCCUGUAUAGAGAAAGUUAGCCAUAGAUUAUAUCAAAGUGUAAACAGGGAUAAGGAGAGUGUAAAUUCAUGUCAACCAGGCGUGAAACAGAAUGGAUCUAGUUUCUGUUUCAAAACUGAAGAGCGGGCCAGGAAAAGGAAAGAGGCAAGGACCAAUUUCUUGUGUCUAAUAAAACGUCGUAUAAAACCUAAAAGAAGUUUUUGAUAUUGAUUUAAGUUCUUUAUGAAUAUUGAGGAGAAAGUGCAUGCCAAAGAGGAAGAAACACGUCAACUCCAAGCAAGAACCCAGGUAAUAAACCCGGGGUCUGAUUGUUGUGACU